AUCACUUCUCAGCCUUUUGGCUAAGAUCAAGUGUAGUAUCUGUUCUUAUCAGUUUAAAAAUAAUUUUAUGGCUUAUCCACACAGCUUAAUGUUAGUACUAGUUAUUAAGAGUACAAUGGAACACCAUUC
rnacentral:snRNA from 1 species